AGUGACCUACGGGAGGCAGCAGUAGGGAAUCUUCCACAAUGGGCGAAAGCCUGAUGGAGCAACGCCGCGUGGGUGAAGAAGGUCUUCGGAUCGUAAAACCCUGUUGUUAGGGAAGAAAGUGCGUGAGAGUAACUGUUCACGUUUCGACGGUAUCUAACCAGAAAGCCACGGCUAACUACGUGCCAGCAGCCGCGGUAAUACGUAGGUGGCAAGCGUUAUCCGGAUUCAUUGGGCGUAAAGGGAACGCAGGCGGUCUUUUAAGUCUGAUGUGAAAGCCUUCGGCUUAACCGGAGUAGUGCAUUGGA
rnacentral:rRNA from 1 species